UACGUAGGGGGCAAGCGUUGUCCGGAAUUAUUGGGCGUAAAGCGCGCGCAGGCGGCAGGGAAAGUCUUGUGUCAAAGACCGGAGCUCAACUCCGGGCUGCAUGAGAAACUGUCCAGCUUGAGUGUAGGAGAGGGAAGUGGAAUUCCACGUGUAGCGGUGAAAUGCGUAGAGAUGUGGAGGAACACCAGUGGCGAAGGCGACUUCCUGGCCUAUAACUGACGCUGAGGCGCGAAAGCGUGGGGAGCAAACGGG
rnacentral:rRNA from 1 species